AUGAACGCUAGCUACAGGCUUAACACAUGCAAGUCGAGGGGCAGCAUGAACUUAGCUUGCUAAGUUUGAUGGCGACCGGCGCACGGGUGAGUAACACGUAUCCAACCUGCCGAUGACUCGGGGAUAGCCUUUCGAAAGAAAGAUUAAUACCCGAUGGCAUAGUUCUUCCGCAUGGUAGAACUAUUAAAGAAUUUCGGUCAUCGAUGGGGAUGCGUUCCAUUAGGUUGUUGGCGGGGUAACGGCCCACCAAGCCUUCGAUGGAUAGGGGUUCUGAGAGGAAGGUCCCCCACAUUGGAACUGAGACACGGUCCAAACUCCUACGGGAGGCAGCAGUGAGGAAUAUUGGUCAAUGGACGAGAGUCUGAACCAGCCAAGUAGCGUGAAGGAUGACUGCCCUAUGGGUUGUAAACUUCUUUUAUACGGGAAUAAAGUGAGGCACGUGUGCCUUUUUGUAUGUACCGUAUGAAUAAGGAUCGGCUAACUCCGUGCCAGCAGCCGCGGUAAUACGGAGGAUCCGAGCGUUAUCCGGAUUUAUUGGGUUUAAAGGGAGCGUAGGCGGACGCUUAAGUCAGUUGUGAAAGUUUGCGGCUCAACCGUAAAAUUGCAGUUGAUACUGGGUGUCUUGAGUACAGUAGAGGCAGGCGGAAUUCGUGGUGUAGCGGUGAAAUGCUUAGAUAUCACGAAGAACUCCGAUUGCGAAGGCAGCCUGCUGGACUGUAACUGACGCUGAUGCUCGAAAGUGUGGGUAUCAAACAGGAUUAGAUACCCUGGUAGUCCACACAGUAAACGAUGAAUACUCGCUGUUUGCGAUAUACAGUAAGCGGCCAAGCGAAAGCGUUAAGUAUUCCACCUGGGGAGUACGCCGGCAACGGUGAAACUCAAAGGAAUUGACGGGGGCCCGCACAAGCAGUGGAUUAUGUGGUUUAAUUCGAAGCAACGCGAAGAACCUUACCAGGGCUUGACAUCCAACUAACGAAGCAGAGAUGCAUUAGGUGCCCUUCGGGGAAAGUUGAGACAGGUGGUGCAUGGUUGUCGUCAGCUCGUGUCGUGAGAUGUUGGGUUAAGUCCCGCAACGAGCGCAACCCUUAUCGUUAGUUACUACGCAAGAGGACUCUAGCGAGACUGCCGUUGACAAAACGGAGGAAGGUGGGGAUGACGUCAAAUCAGCACGGCCCUUACGUCCGGGGCUACACACGUGUUACAAUGGGGGGUACAGAAGGCAGCUACACGGCGACGUGAUGCUAAUCCCGAAAGCCUCUCUCAGUUCGGAUUGGAGUCUGCAACCCGACUCCAUGAAGCUGGAUUCGCUAGUAAUCGCGCAUCAGCCACGGCGCGGUGAAUACGUUCCCGGGCCUUGUACACACCGCCCGUCACACCAUGAGAGUUGGGGAUACCCGAAGCCUGUGAGCCAACAGUUAAAUGGGGCAGCAGUCGAAGGUAGAAUCAAUGAUUGGGGUG
rnacentral:rRNA from 1 species